rnacentral:rRNA from 1 species
CGACAGGGAAGAGUCCAGCACCGAAUCUCUAGCGCCUUGCGUGCUAGCGAAAUGUGGUGUUCAGGAGGGUCCGUUAUUCCGGGGCUCGCCUUGCCGAGUCCAAGUCCUUCUUGAACGGGGCCACGGUCCGUAGAGGGUGCCAGACCCGUAGCGGCCGGUGGCGUCCCCGGUUGGACCUCUCCUUAGAGUCGGGUUGCUUGAGAGUGCAGCCUAAAGUGGGUGGUAAACUCCAUCUAAGACUAAAUAUUACCACGAGACCGAUAGCGAACAAGUACCGUGAGGGAAAGUUGAAAAGAACUUUGAAGAGAGAGUUCAAUAGUACGUGAAACCGUUCAGGGGUAAACGGGGAAGACUUGAAAAUCCGAAAAGAGAGAUUCACGUCUUCCGCUGGUUCUGUCAAGUCUGUCCGUGGACGGCCUUACUCCCUCGUUCUGGCUUCGGCCCGAGCGCUGGUGGGUCGGUCGGCCGGACGGGCAAGGCGGGAUCGCGGAGGACCGCACUUCUCUCUCAGUAGGACGUCGCGACCCGUUCGGAAGCAUGCCUGAUGCUCGGCCAGAAGUCUCGAGUCAGUUGUGGUCCUCGGGCCGCAGCCCUCGAGUCGGCCGAAGCAGGGCAGCGUUACGGACGGCAGUUAAAGACGGUGUCGGACCGCUCUCACGAGCGCUUCCGGCCAUUCCCGAGUCGGACGUCGAGCGCGGUUGCGGGCCUCUCCUGGGGCCCGCACCGCUUCGCGUUUGGCUGACGGGGAGUGGUUCUGGGGCCGAGUCCACUGCACCUGUCGGCGACGCCGCAGUUUCGAGCUCUUACCCGGCCCGUCUUGAAACACGGACCAAGGAGUCCAACGUGUGCGCGAGUCGUUGGGUGAAAACCCAAUGGCGUAAUUAAGGUGAAGGGAAGUUCUCUUUCCGAGGAAUGAGGAGGGCCCGCCUCUAACGUGGUGGCCCUUCGCACUCCCGGCUCGUCUCUUACUCAUUGCGAGUCGAGGCCUGCCUAGAGCGUUCACGUUGGAACCCGAAAGAUGAUGAACUAUGCCUGCUGAGGACGAAGCCAGGCGAAACCCUGGGGGAGGUCCGUAACGGAUCUGACGUGCAAUCGAUCGUCGGAGCUGGGUAUAGGGGCCAAAGACUAAUCGAACCAUACUAAAGCUGGUUCCCUCCGAAGAUUCCCUCAGAUAUCUGGUCCCAUGUUGACGACCUCAUCUGGCUUUCGAAUGAUUAGAGGCCUUGUUACCGAAUGACCUGACCUAUUCUCUACUUUACUUGGAUGAGAACCCCGUGUUGCUUGGAUUAGGUGAAGACGGAUGUCGCUUCCGGUUGACAAGUGUGCCAUUUUUGGUAAUCAUAACUGGCACUGUGGGAUGACUUCCAUUUAAAGUUAAGGAGCCAAAAUCUACGCUCAUCAGACACCAUGAAAGGCGUGUGGUUGCUUACCACAGCAGGACGGUGGCCAUGGAAAGUGGAAAUCCGCUGAAGGAGUGUGCUACAACUCUACCUGUCUAAGCGACUAGACCUGAUCAUGGAUGGUGCUGUAGCGUCUUGACUAUACUCUGACGCCUAUAGUGAACUAAGAGCGAUCNNNNNNNNNNCCCUGAAUGGAUGGCGCUGUAGCGUCGUGCCUAUACUCUGCCGCCAACGGCAAACUAGGUGCGGUCCCCCCGCGGGGCCGGUCACUGUUACGCCUUGGUGAGUAGGAGGGCCGCGGCGAUGUGCGUAGAAGGGUCUAGGUGUGAGCCUGCCUGGAGCCGUCGCCGGCGCAGAUCUUGGUGGUAGUAGCAAAUACUCCAGCGAGGCCCUGGAGGACUGAUGUGGAGAAGGGUUUCUUGUGAACAGCCGUUGCACAAGAGUCAGUCGGUCCUAAGCCCUAGGAGAAAUCCGAUGCCGAUGGGUGCCGUUACCAAUGCCAAUCCUUCGCUCUGCAGGUGCCCGGGCAAGGUGUAAAGGCCUCUCGUCGAACCCGCACGGGUCGCUCCGGUGUAACGCCGGUGUGCACCCCGCUUUCACUGGCUAGACGAGUGUGCCUUUUUAUCUGCCUUGCCCGGUGGUCGGGAAACUCUUCCCAACCCGUGCAUGCAGAUGCAGCGAGGGUCUUGACAGGUGAUGCUGGCGCCCUAGGUCGGGCGAAAGGGAAUCCGGUUCCUAUUCCGGAACCUGGUCGCGGAACCGUUUCAAGUCGUGCCCUCUGACGAGAGCUCGUCAGGGUAACCUAAAAAGACUCGGAGACGCCGUCGGGAGAUCCAAGGAGAGUUGUCUCUUCUCUAUAAGCGUUCGAGUUCCCUGGAAUUCUCUAGCAGGGAGAUAGGGUUUGGAGCGCCAAGAGCACCGCAGUUACGGCGGUGUUUGGAUCUUCCCCUCGGUCCUUGAAAAUCCGGGUGAGGGCUACGAGGAACGCCGCACCAGACCGUACCCAUAUCCGCAGCAGGUCUCCAAGGUCAACAGCCUCUAGUCGUUAGAAUAAUGUAGGUAAGGGAAGUCGGCAAACUGGAUCCGUAACCUUGGGAUAA